GGUCAUAAUGAGACCUGUUGGUGGCUUAGUUGGCCGCCGGACUCCUUAAAAUCCUUUGGCUGCUGCUGGACGCUUCAAAUUGAAAAAGUUUCUUCCACCGGCGAUUCCACAUCUUCUCUACCUUAUCUUCUUAGUUUCCUCACUUACAACGUGGAAGAGAAGUGGAUCAUUGGGAUGCUGCUAAGCAGCCAGCGGGGCAAGGGACUCCUACCAUUACGAUCUGGACCUGUCCUUUUUGGCAGAAUGGAGCCUUAUUUUCCUCAUCUGUAAAAUGGAGAUAUUAGUUCCCAUCUCGGAGAGUGAUGGUCCAGCUGGCAUGAGAAUUUCAUGAGAGAUCUACCCCUCAAAUCAGAUGGGGCUCCAUGAUGGCUGAAACAGGGCAGGAAGGAAGGACAGAGAACGCAGCAAGGAGAUCUGCAGCUCCCUGAGCAGCCAGAGGCUUCCUCCCCACUUUUAAAGCCCAGGUUGGGUCCCGACGACCUGUGAGCCCUCCAAGGGAGGCUCAGUCCAUGCACACUGGCGGCAGACUGAGGCAGGCCCGUGUCCUGAGGUCCUGCAGCGUGGCACUUGUGGCUGGGAGGCCACAAUCAAGGCAGCUUCGUGAGAACAAGAACAGGUGGCAGGCCUGCAACUCAAAUCCCUUUCUCUAACACAUGGCCAGGAAAGAGACUAUGGGCACUGACCAAAGAGUGCUCUCGAAAUCUUCUCCUUUUACUCAGCUCCCAAAGAUGAAUUUGUCAAAGAGCUACUUAAAAAAGCAAAACAAAACA